rnacentral:rRNA from 1 species
UGACGGCCCUAUGGGUUGUAAACUUCUUUUGUACGGGAAUAAACCCAGAUACGUGUAUCUGGCUGAAUGUACCGUAAGAAUAAGGAUCGGCUAACUCCGUGCCAGCAGCCGCGGUAAUACGGAGGAUCCAAGCGUUAUCCGGAUUCAUUGGGUUUAAAGGGUGCGUAGGCGGAUUUGUAAGUCAGUGGUGAAAUCCUGCAGCUUAACUGUAGAACUGCCAUUGAUACUGCAAGUCUUGAGUGUGUUUGAAGUGGGCGGAAUGUGUCAUGUAGCGGUGAAAUGCUUAGAUAUGACACAGAACACCGAUUGCGUAGGCAGCUCACUAAACCACAACUGACGCUGAGGCACGACAGCGUGGGGAUCAAACAGGAUUAGAUACCCUGGUAGUCCACGCCGUAAACUAUGAUCACUCGAUGUUGGCGAUAUACAGUCAGCGUCUAAGCUAAAGCGUUAAGUGAUCCACCUGGGGAGUACGGUCGCAAGAUUGAAACUCAAAGGAAUUGACGGGGGU